AUGGCCAAGCUCAGUCACACAGUCUCGUGUUGCCUGUGUCUCAAGAUACAGAACUCUCAGCUCCUCCUCCAGCACCGCAUCUGCCUGCAUGCCACCAUGCUGCCCACUAUGAUGAGAAUGCACUAAACCACUGAAAUUCGAUAGGACUUGCUUUAUGUGACUGGCAGGUCCAUAGCAAGUUCCCACGUCCUUUGUCUGGUAGGAAAAACAGAGAUGACUCUCAUUUGCAGACUGGGGACUCUUGAAGCCUGGGAACACGAACAGUCACCGGUACAAAAACUCCAAGAAGAACUUGUUUGUAUUCAAAAUAUAAGACGCAGGGAAUCCUGGUGGUAUGGACUGAUUUUCCUGAAUGGCGGGAUCCCUGGAAGAGGGGGCUUGCACUUUUACUAUCCCAGUAAAAAGAAAGCCAUAGACCAGUGCACUUGAUAUUGCCUGCCUGAUGGAAUCUGGACUCACAGCAGGGAAGGGCUUAGUUUGGCUUUAACUGAGGUGGGAAGACAAAUUCUAAUGUGCUGUAGCAUCAUCCCUGGGCCAGAACCCUGGGCUGGCUAAUAAAGAGAACACCAGCUGAGCACCGGCAUUCAUUGUGCUCUGCCUCCUGGCUACAUACAGAUGGUGAGAAGCCGCCUGGCACUCUGCCACCAUGCCUCCCUCACCAUGAUAAAUUGUGCAAGGCCUCAGAUGAGGACUCAGGAGUUCACGAAAAUGGACUGUGGGGGAGCAGUAAGAAGUUUAACAGAGGAGUUAGUAACACCAUGGACAGACAGACAGACAACAGCACAGCAGAGGCUCUGAGGAGAGUGAAACCUCGGCAUCAGAGACCGACACCACAGAGAGAGGUCUGAAGAGAGGAAUGAGGGCCUCCGCAGCAGAGCCAGGCUCCCUUCUUACCUUUGAUUCUGAGACAGGAUUCAGGGAGGGAUAGGGAGCAAGCUGUGAGGCCAGAAACACCUUCUAGCAUGUAAACUCACAUUCCCAGGUUAAAAAUCAUGGUUCUUGGAAAUCUAUUGGCAGGAGAAUUGUAAGCACUGCCUCAGCAAGGGCCUGGAGAUACCUGUGAGCGGGAAGGCUGGCACUAAUAAAUUCACAGCAGCAGGGCUGGACUCUAGUGUCACACACACCAUGACCAAGGCAACUCUUAUCAAAGAAAGCAUUUAAUCGGGGGCUCACUUACAGCUUCCGAGGCUUAGUCCCUUAUUAUCAGGCUGGGAACAGUAGCUGAAGCUACAUCCUGAUCUAUGGGCAGAAAGAGAAGAGAGAGCCUGGGCCUGGCACGGGCUUUUGAAAAGUUAAAACCCACCCCCAGUGACACACUUCCUCUAACAAGGCCACACCUCCUAAUCCUUCUAAUCCUCUCCAAUAGUGCCACUCCCUGGCAUGCUAACAUUUGAUCCCAUGGGGGCCAUUCUGACUCAAAUCGCAGUAGCUAGUAAAAGGCAUAAAGCGGUCCAAGAAAAUUUUGGUUUUCACACCCCAUGUCUUCCCAGUCAGCCAAGAAUCAGCACUGCAGCAUCUUCAUUUCAGACUUGGCUUCUCCAGAGGGCUGUAGCCACGACCAUCAGCACAUUCAAGUGAAAUUCGGGAAGGAUGGGAAGAAACUGUUCCUGAACCAAUUCCCAGGUCCUCGGGGCUUUGAGACAUGUUGGUGGCUCUUCCUACUGGCUCUGCAGCAUCUUCUCUUGCCAACCCAGGCUUUCCUCCCUCCUGUCCUUUUGCUGUCUCAAGGACUUCUGAAGCAAUCUCCUUGGCUGUGCCUCUUCCUCGAGGGUUUUAUUUUGAUUAAACACUCAUAAUUAAAACCAAAUUGGAUGAACCAGAA